AGGACUGGUUGGCUCUUGGUCACCAUGUUAUAUGGCCCUCCUUGCAUUAUAACCGCUUCGAGGCUUCACAAGGACUUCCAGGAACGGUGGAC